rnacentral:rRNA from 1 species
GACGAACGCUGGCGGCGUGCCUAAUACAUGCAAGUAGAACGCACAGUUUAUACCGUAGCUUGCUACACCAUAAACUGUGAGUUGCGAACGGGUGAGUAACGCGUAGGUAACCUGCCUGGUAGCGGGGGAUAACUAUUGGAAACGAUAGCUAAUACCGCAUAAUAUUGAUUAUUGCAUGAUAAUUGAUUGAAAGAUGCUAUUGCAUCACUACCAGAUGGACCUGCGUUGUAUUAGCUAGUAGGUGAGGUAACGGCUCACCUAGGCGACGAUACAUAGCCGACCUGAGAGGGUGAUCGGCCACACUGGGACUGAGACACGGCCCAGACUCCUACGGGAGGCAGCAGUAGGGAGUCUUCGGCAAUGGACGAAAGUCUGACCGAGCAACGCCGCGUGAGUGAAGAAGGUUUUCGGAUCGUAAAGCUCUGUUGUAAGAGAAGAACGGGUGUGAGAGUGGAAAGUUCACACUGUGACGGUAUCUUACCAGAAAGGGACGGCUAACUACGUG